rnacentral:rRNA from 1 species
AUUGAACGCUGGCGGCAGGCCUAACACAUGCAAGUCGAGCGGAUGAAGGGAGCUUGCUCCUGGAUUCAGCGGCGGACGGGUGAGUAAUGCCUAGGAAUCUGCCUGGUAGUGGGGGAUAACGUCCGGAAACGGGCGCUAAUACCGCAUACGUCCUGAGGGAGAAAGUGGGGGAUCUUCGGACCUCACGCUAUCAGAUGAGCCUAGGUCGGAUCAGCUAGUUGGUGGGGUAAAGGCCUACCAAGGCGACGAUCCGUAACUGGUCUGAGAGGAUGAUCAGUCACACUGGAACUGAGACACGGUCCAGACUCCUACGGGAGGCAGCAGUGGGGAAUAUUGGACAAUGGGCGAAAGCCUGAUCCAGCCAUGCCGCGUGUGUGAAGAAGGUCUUCGGAUUGUAAAGCACUUUAAGUUGGGAGGAAGGGCAGUAAGUUAAUACCUUGCUGUUUUGACGUUACCAACAGAAUAAGCACCGGUUAACUUCGUG